UACAUGGGGUGCAAACGUUGCUCGGAAUUAUUGGGCGUAAAGCGCGCGUAGGCGGUUACUUAAGUCGGAUGUCGAAAGCCCUCGGCUUAACUGAGGAAGUGCACCCGAAACUGAGUAGCUGGAGUACGAAAGAGGGUCGCGGAAUUCCCGGUGUAGAGGUGAAAUGCGUAGAGAUCUGGAGGAACACCGAUGGCGAAGGCAGCCUUCUGGGCCAACACUGAACGCUCAUGCACGAAAGCGUGGGGAGCAAACAGG
rnacentral:rRNA from 1 species